rnacentral:rRNA from 1 species
CGGCCUUGAAAUACCACCCUUUAAUGUUUGAUGUUCUAACGUUGACCCGUGAUCCGGGUUGCGGACAGUGUCUGGUGGGUAGUUUGACUGGGGCGGUCUCCUCCUAAAGAGUAACGGAGGAGCACGAAGGUUGGCUAAUCCUGGUCGGACAUCAGGAGGUUAGUGCAAUGGCAUAAGCCAGCUUGACUGCGAGCGUGACGGCGCGAGCAGGUGCGAAAGCAGGUCAUAGUGAUCCGGUGGUUCUGAAUGGAAGGGCCAUCGCUCAACGGAUAAAAGGUACUCCGGGGAUAACAGGCUGAUACCGCCCAAGAGUUCAUAUCGACGGCGGUGUUUGGCACCUCGAUGUCGGCUCAUCACAUCCUGGGGCUGAAGUAGGUCCCAAGGGUAUGGCUGUUCGCCAUUUAAAGUGGUACGCGAGCUGGGUUUAGAACGUCGUGAGACAGUUCGGUCCCUAUCUGCCGUGGGCGCUGGAGAACUGAGGGGGGCUGCUCCUAGUACGAGAGGACCGGAGUGGACGCAUCACUGGUGUUCGGGUUGUCAUGCCAAUGGCACUGCCCGGUAGCUAAAUGCGGAAGAGAUAAGUGCUGAAAGCAUCUAAGCACGAAACUUGCCCCGAGAUGAGUUCUCCCUGACUCCUUGAGAGUCCUGAAGGAACGUUGAAGACGACGACGUUGAUAGGCCGGGUGUGUAAGCGCAGCGAUGCGUUGAGCUAACCGGUACUAAUGAACCGUGAGGCUUAACCUU